rnacentral:rRNA from 1 species
UAGGGAAUAUUGGUAAUCUGCGAAAGCGGGAACCAGCAACGCCGCGUGUGCGAUGACGGCCUUCGGGUUGUAAAGCACUUUUUGAGGGGAUGAGGAAGGACAGUACCCUCAGAAUAAGCCUCGGCUAACUACGUGCCAGCAGCCGCGGUAACACGUCGGAGGCAAUCGUUAUUCGGAUUUACUGGGCGUAAAGCGCGUGCAGGCGGUUCGGUAAGUUGGAUGUGAAAGCUCCUGGCUGAAAUGGGAGAGGUCGUUCAAAACUGUUAGACUAGAGAAUGGGAGAGGUAGGUGGAAUUCCGGGUGUAGUGGUGAAAUGCGUAGAUAUCCGGAGGAACACCAGUGGCGAAAGCGGCCUCCUAGACCAUUUCUGACGCUAAGACGCGAAAGCUAGGGUAGCAAACG